AUUGAUUAUUUUGCAAUGUUUAUUCAUGCAUGCUAGCUAGCAUGUCUUCGAAGUUCUGAGGUCAAUGCUGUCUCUAAGAAACAUUUUCCAGAAGGAGGCUUGAUCCGGCACAUAAAGUCCUCCACUGUUGAAGAAUUUUCUUGCUUCUUCACAUAAUCAUUUUCAACCAUCAAAAGCUUAGGGAACUCAAUGUUAUUAUUUGCUUAACCACUAAACAGAGGGUUGAUUUUGAUUUUCUAGGGAG